GUGGAAUUUUUUUUCCUAUUUUUUAUUUUUUUCUGAAGAAGCAGAUGAUUAAAACUUCCCACCUGACAGGCAGCUGGUUGGGCCAUUUACCAGAACAGACUGAAGGGUGAUGGCUCACUGCUGGAAGCAUUUCUCUGUUUUCAUUACCAAGCAACGGCGCAAGAAGCCAACAGUAUCAUUUGAGGAUUAUCAUGCUCUCUUCUGAAGCCGAGAGUAUUGCAAGGCUGUAUAAAACUGAGGACUCCUACGUCAUCUGAACUCCUGCUGCUGCUCUACAAACUCGACAGCAGUUGAGCAACAAGUCUAACCUUUCUACUGUAUAUCUGGAACAGUUAUUAAAGUAUCCUAAUGAUGGCAUGAAUUCGAGGAAAAGCUGCCCUGAGUGCACUCCUUUGUGGAAUACUGACAAUGAAUGCUUAGAGCUCUGACCAAUUCUGCAAGAAGAACACUACAGAAGAGGAAGAUGUUUCCUCGACAGUUUCUACUCAUUCCAUGAACAAAGAAAGGAUUGUGACAGAUGGCAGCAGAAGGGCACUCUGACAAAACAGUCUUUGACAUGGAAAUGCGUAUAAAGUGCCCAAGCCUAGCUUUAUGAAGCCAUUCUGACUGUCUUCAGUAGAGCAGAGCAGACCCUUCAGAAAUCCUUCAAAGUGCACCCAGAGCAAUUGUGGCUUUAGAGGCUCACGCUUUUCGAGCAGAGAGGCCCUUCACCUUCUACUGUAAACAUAAAGAAAUCAGAGGCUCUCUCACGCAGUGCCGUUGGCAGAUCACCGUGAACUUGUUUCAGCCAGAGCACACUUCGACGUCAUGGUCAGUGAAAGUGUCUGAGCUUCAAAGGUUUGAGAAAUAGUAAUUGAAGCAUGGACAGGAUUCCAGCAGAACAGGAACAGUGGUUUCCCUGACUAAGUUUGUUCUGGUAAGUUCAGGGUUCUUGGGACCAUUCUCUGGCAUUAAAGACAACUGGCAUAAAAAAAUCUCUUAUCUGUAUUAUUAAGAUCUAUUACUCUCCACUGCAGGGUAGCUACAGGCUGUUUACCUGUCAGGAACAUUAUAUAGGGCAUGCUAGUUUCCAGACCAUACACAGAUUUGGGGGAGGGGGAAAGGCAGUUGUCUCUGGCAAAUUUUUUUUCUUGGGGUUGCACUGCUUUUCUAUGAACAAUCAUGUUUCAGUGCCCAGGAACAAUUCCUGGCACAGUUUGGUUGAUUAGAGCAGAUGGCGGUUGAAAUAUUUCUGGAGAUUUAAGCCACCAGGGUCUGUGGUUUCAUGAUUCCUCAAACAGUGAACAGAUCUAUGAGCUAGUUGCACUCCAUAACAAAAGACUGUCGAGUCCAGCAGCAGCACCUCAGUGAUGCAGACAUAAGAUAACUUUGGUUGACAUCUGCCUGUAGUCAUUGUGAUUUAUUUCAGUUCCUGAGCAUUCUGAACCAGUUUCCAAAAUGAGGAAGGAUAAAAUUAUAGCCUUAAAAUCAUUGACGUCAAAAGUUUCAUAGGUCGCCAAAAAUCACAAUUGUUGUAAACUCUUGUAAAAUCAAAUUAGUGAUUUUACUGAUGAUGUUCAGAGUAAAAGAUGUUUCAAAUGAGAUUCAAAAGGAUCUGAUGACCUGGAUUACUUCCAUUUUAGAGUGUCCAACCAUAGGCACUUCUGAUCUUGUUUUUCCAAUGUCUUGAUCUCCCAGAAACAAACUGACUCAGAAUUAUCAGUUUUCUUUUAAACUCUGAGGCAGAAGACAUUAGUUUUUAUGCUUUGUGGGAUCUAUGUUUUUCUCGUUGGUUUGCGCUGCAGUGACUUUGUACAGCUACAUUCAACUGCAAUAAAUUAAAGAAUGUUAGGAACUCCUAAUUGGACUGUGUCUUAUAUACAAGAUAGGAUUAUAAUAUGAAAGUCUGAGUGGUUGGCAGCUGAACACAGAAGUCCCAAUGGGAUGCAUCACCUGUAGCCUAAGAAAAGAGAUCAUGCUCGAUAUUUGCAGCUUAUGUGCUAUCCCACACAGAACCAGCAAGAUCAUUUUUUUAACAAACAGUUUUAUGUGCUACAUCCUCAUCAUUGAUCAUUCUGUCAGAGACUGAAAAAAAAGUUCUUUGAACUUAGUUAGACUGGUUUCUCAUUGCUAAAUAGCAUUUGCAUUGUUUAAUCAUUUCAGCUCUUACAGCUAAUGUGAUAGAAUGCUUUUACAUAAGUAUUAUUAUUAUUUUUUUUUUUUCUCUCAGUAUGGAGGAAGGAAAAUUGGGCAUGGAAAAAUUUAAGGAAAUUAAAUUUUUACUACCUCAAACUGGGCGUAGAAAGCCAUGAGUGUUAUGUCUGAAAAAUUACUAAUAUUAAAAAUUCUCUUCAAAUUCCAUUGGGAGGGGUGCAAAAACACUUAUUAAAGUGGGUAAUCUCUCUGUAAAACAAACUGGUAUCCAGUAAUAGCUCCCCUUUCCUUCAGAACUGUGUGGGCUGCCUUCUCUUUUAUGCACACUCACAUAAUACCCCUGCGGCAGUUACAGUGGUUGCUUACGCAGAAGAAUAAUACUAGGAAAGUAUUUAUGCAUUUGUACUGUAUUGAGUGUGAUAAAUGCUUUUCCCUUUCUGAAAAACAAAAAACUUGCAUUGUCUGCUUUUGUUUUUCAUCUCCUCCCAUCUAUUCUGUUUCUCUUAGCUGGAAAUGAGAAUAACGGCUGACUCUGUGUGGAUGCCAGUAGUCUAUAGAGAGUUUGAAGGCCACUACAAUAUUGUUGAAGCUCCUUUUUAAAAAUAGCUCUGUCCCAGUUCAUGUGAAAAGCUUUCAUAGGAUCAUUGCUGUUGUAGGGAAGGACUAGACUUACUUUCUAUCUCUGAGGGUUUUGUGGCCACAUGGCCCACUGGACAUACAACAUCUUAGGACAUCCGACAUCUUUUGUUUCCAACCACAGAAUAGGACCAGAAACAUUUGUCUCAAGUGAAAGUUUGAUAUGAAAGAUACAGUGAUCUUUACUCAAUGUAGCAAAACCAAUAUAUGAUUUCACAUUGUAAUAAAAACAGCAACAUUAGCUCACUUGCCUCGGAAGCAUUUGAACAUGGGUCUCACAGACAUGCAAAUUCAGUCACUCUGUUAUUUAAAUGUCCUACACAUGGUCUGAAAUGUUUCAGUAGAAAUCUGAGAUCUUUUCUGUGGAUAAUUCUGUUGCUGUAUCCUACUCAGAGAAACUCAGAACAAAAUUGAUCUAGGCAACACAGCAACUUAAUCACAAGUUGUUGAAAACACUAGCAAUGCAACAUGAAACUCAUAAGCUACUUUGUAUUUAGUCACAGAAAUUAAAUUGCCAGAAAACAUGGAAAUUUGCAGAUUGUUGGAGUUAUAGGAAGAGAGUUAUAACUAAGUCCUGUGAAGUUUCACUAACACUGAGUGAUUAGAGGCCUAGUAAAAGCAAUUUAAUUUUUCUAGAGCUAAAGAAUUCAUGCUAUUUUUUUCUCCUUGACAGUACUAUUAAAAGACCUAAAUACAAUGUUCCUCAGAUUAGCACAUUUUUACAUUCAACAGUGGUUUUUUUUCUUUUUUGUUUGUUUGUUUUUCUUCCCCCUCCCCCCCUCCAACACACCUUCCCCUCCCAGCCUUUAUCAUGUCUCAGCACAGAUUUUCAUUAGCAGAUUGAUUUGGUAUGAUUACUAAUGUAAGGCACUGUAACCUACACUGUAACCUAACUGCAUCUGGCUAAGCCAUUUACAAGGCAGUAACUACACAAAUUGGAGGAAGGGCCUAGCCCAUAAGGUAAUCAAGUUAUUUUAAAAGUAAUAUGCCCCUUUUCCUUUCUAUUAAAACCAGAAAUGGGAAGACAAGUUGCUUUAUGCCAGCUUCACCAAUGAAUAAUAACUUUUUCAUUUUAUAUUAAAAACUGUUUUUUAAAUUUUUAGUUUCAUAAUAAAGAACACAGAGAAAUAUUCUCUACUUUAUGAGCUGCACCAAAGUCAUGUUGGCAAGUGAAGAAAUAAUAAAGUGAAAUUGCUUCAUAUGUUUUUUAUUAUAUAAUAAGCUGCUGAUGCAAAGGUUCAAGCCUGCACCACUCAAUAGGCAGUCUACCAAUCACAAAACUCAGAACUAGAAAGUUGUCAUCUUUCCCCCCCC